UACGAAGGGGGCUAGCGUUGCUCGGAAUCACUGGGCGUAAAGGGUGCGUAGGCGGUCUGUCGCGUCUGCUGUGAGAACUCGGGGCUUAACCCCGGGCCUGCAGUGGGUACGGGCGGACUAGAGGUAGGUAGGGGAGAACGGAAUUCCUGGUGUAGCGGUGGAAUGCGCAGAUAUCAGGAGGAACACCGGUGGCGAAGGCGGGUCUCUGGGCCGAUACUGACGCUGAGGAGCGAAAGCGUGGGGAGCGAACAGG
rnacentral:rRNA from 1 species